GUCCACACUGUAAACGAUGGAUACUAGGUGUAGGGUGUAUUAAACAUUCUGUGCCGCCGCAAACGCAUUAAGUAUCCCACCUGGGGAGUACGACCGCAAGGUUGAAACUCAAAGGAAUUGACGGGGGCCCGCACAAGCAGUGGAGUAUGUGGUUUAAUUCGAAGCAACGCGAAGAACCUUACCAGGGCUUGACAUAUACAGGAAUAAGUAAGAGAUUACUUAGCUCUUCGGAGUCUGUAUACAGGUGGUGCAUGGUUGUCGUCAGCUCGUGUCGUGAGAUGUUGGGUUAAGUCCCGCAACGAGCGCAACCCCUGUCCUUAGUUGCCAGCACGUAAAGGUGGGAACUCUAAGGAGACUGCCGGUGAUAAAUCGGAGGAAGGUGGGGAUGACGUCAAAUCAUCAUGCCCUUUAUGUCCUGGGCUACACACGUACUACAAUGGCCGUGACAGAGAGAAACGAAGUAGUGAUGCAGAGUAAAACUCAAAAAACGGUCUCAGUUCGGAUUGAAGGCUGAAAUUCGCCUUCAUGAAGCUGGAAUUGCUAGUAAUGGCAGGUCAGCAUACUGCCGUGAAUACGUUCCCGGGCCUUGUACACACCGCCCGUCACACCAUGAGAGUUGGAAAUACCCGAAGCCUGUGAGCUAACUUAUAGAGGCAGCAGUCGAAGGUAGAGCCAAUGAUUGGGGUGAAGUCGUAACAAGGUAGCCGUAUCGGAAGGUGCGGUUGGAUCACCUC
rnacentral:rRNA from 1 species